UACAGAGGUCUCAAGCGUUGUUCGGAUUCACUGGGCUUAAAGGGCGCGUAGGCGGGCUGCCAAGUCUGGGGUGAAAUCCUCCGGCUCAACCGGAGAACGGCCUCGGAUACUGGCGGUCUCGAGGGAGGUAGGGGCGUGCGGAACUAAGGGUGGAGCGGUGAAAUGCGUUGAUAUCCUUAGGAACUCCGGUGGCGAAGGCGGCACGCUGGACCUCUUCUGACGCUGAGGCGCGAAAGCCAGGGGAGCAAACGGG
rnacentral:rRNA from 1 species